GAUGAACGCUAGCUACAGGCUUAACACAUGCAAGUCGAGGGGAAACGACAUCGAAAGCUUGCUUUUGAUGGGCGUCGACCGGCGCACGGGUGAGUAACGCGUAUCCAACCUGCCCAUCACUUGGGGAUAACCUUGCGAAAGUAAGACUAAUACCCAAUGACGUCUCUAGAAGACAUCUGAAAGAGAUUAAAGAUUUUCCGGUGAUGGAUGGGGAUGGGUCUGAUUAGCUUGUUGGCGGGGUACCGGCCCACCAAGGCGACGAUCAGUAGGGGUUCGGGGAGGAAGUUCCCCGACAUAGGAACUGAAACGCGGUCCAAACUCCUACGGGAGGCAGCAGUGAGGGAUAUUGGGCAAUGGGCGAGAGCCUGAACCAACCAAGUAGCGUGCAGAAUGACGGCCCUAUGUGUUGUAAACUGCUUUUAUAAGGGGAUAAAGUGAGAGUCGUGACUCUUUUUGCAUGUACCUUAUGAAUAAGGACCGGCUAAUUCCGUGCCAGCCGCCGCCGUAAUAC
rnacentral:rRNA from 1 species